rnacentral:rRNA from 1 species
GAUGAACGCUGGCGGCGUGCUUAACACAUGCAAGUCGAACGAUGAAGCCCAGCUUGCUGGGUGGAUUAGUGGCGAACGGGUGAGUAACACGUGAGUAACCUGCCCUUAACUCUGGGAUAAGCCUGGGAAACUGGGUCUAAUACCGGAUAGGAGCGUCCACCGCAUGGUGGGUGUUGGAAAGAUUUAUCGGUUUUGGAUGGACUCGCGGCCUAUCAGCUUGUUGGUGAGGUAAUGGCUCACCAAGGCGACGACGGGUAGCCGGCCUGAGAGGGUGACCGGCCACACUGGGACUGAGACACGGCCCAGACUCCUUCGGGAGGCAGCAGUGGGGAAUAUUGCACAAUGGGCGAAAGCCUGAUGCAGCGACGCCGCGUGAGGGAUGACGGCCUUCGGGUUGUAAACCUCUUUCAGUAGGGAAGAAGCGAAAGUGACGGUACCUGCAGAAGAAGCACCGGCUAACUACGUG